GACGCUUGCGGUAGCAGAUUUCCGGUUCGGGUACCAAUUUUUUCAGGAUGUCAUUUCUGCUCCGUUUGGUGCUCCUAGCUCCAGACAAUGCAGCUAUAAUCAGUACGACUUCUAUCCUGUAGACAGACACAACUAGAGCGGUUCAUUCCACUUGCACCAACAAAACAUAUCUACGUACUUCAUGGACGCUACACUUAAAUUAAAGUUUCCUAUAUACGUGCGUUAUUCGACGAACACACCUCCUAGUGGAUGUGGAGAAUAUUAGAGUAGGCGUUCCAUUCCUGCACUCGAUAUCAAAUUUCGUUAUAAAUUCCGUGAAUAGUGAUACAGGAAGAUAAGGAAGGUGUACCAUUAAUUAUAUUAAAAACUAAGUCAAGUUCA